rnacentral:tRNA from 1 species
GCCUGGGUGGCUCAGUCAGUUAAGCGUCUGACUUUGGCUCAGGUCACGAUCUCUUGGUUCAUGGGUUCGAGUCCCACAUCGGGCU